rnacentral:rRNA from 1 species
GACGUAGGUGGCGAACGUUAUCCGGAAUUAUUGGGCGUCAAGGGUGCGUAGGUGGCCUGACAAGUUUUCAGUGUCAAAUCGAGGCUCAACCUCGUGGAAACUGGUAAUACUGUUCGGCUUGAGUACAGGAGAGGUUAACGGAACUCUAUGUGGAGCGGUAAAAUGCACAGAUAUAUAGAAGAACAUCAAUAAAGGCGAAGGCAGUUAACUAUUCUGUUACUGACGCUGAGGCACGAAAGCGUGGGGAGCAAAACGG